rnacentral:rRNA from 1 species
GAUGAACGCUGGCGGCGUGCCUAAUACAUGCAAGUCGAGCGAACAGACGAGGAGCUUGCUCCUCUGAUGUUAGCGGCGGACGGGUGAGUAACACGUGGAUAACCUACCUAUAAGACUGGGAUAACUUCGGGAAACCGGAGCUAAUACCGGAUAACAUGUUGAACCGCAUGGUUCAACAGUGAAAGACGGUCUUGCUGUCACUUAUAGAUGGAUCCGCGCCGCAUUAGCUAGUUGGUAAGGUAACGGCUUACCAAGGCAACGAUGCGUAGCCGACCUGAGAGGGUGAUCGGCCACACUGGAACUGAGACACGGUCCAGACUCCUACGGGAGGCAGCAGUAGGGAAUCUUCCGCAAUGGGCGAAAGCCUGACGGAGCAACGCCGCGUGAGUGAAGAAGGUCUUCGGAUCGUAAAACUCUGUUAUUAGGGAAGAACAAAUGUGUAAGUAACUAUGCACGUAUUGACGGUACCUAAUCAGAAAGCCACGGCUAACUACGUG